GUUGCUUCUCCCCUCGCCGUCGAGAGGAGUGCGGUGUCCAGUUCAGAUCUAGGAGAUGUGGACCAUUUCUUGUCCUCGUUGUGAUUCCAACUUGGCGUCUCUUACUUGGCUAGAGUGAUCUCUUGCUUCUCCACUGGCAAGGACUUCGGUGGACAAUACCAACGGUUACCUUGCGCAUUUCCCGUCUCCUGCACGCCGCGUGUGGUCGCUACCGGCGCCUCGGCCGUGUACCUCUGUAUUGGCACUCCGACUGUGAGAAUCGCGCAUCGGUGCACCCUCAUCUCCGGGUAAGGUAACCUCUCGGCAGCAGAAUCGUGUCAUAGUGGGUGUCCUGCUAGCUUGGCUAACGCUCUCCUCCUCCCUCGCAGGUUGUAUCCGUGUGGCCGUGGUCAGACACACCACGCGUUUAGGUGCACGAGCGGCGACUUUUAGCCCCGGUUGUGUGGUGCCUCUGGAAGCCGGGAACCCGUAUCUCGGCUGCUGCUCCGGCCUCGGGAAAUUGUACGUUGGUGCGUGUGAGUGUGUGUGGGGAUACCUAGGGGACUGCACUGAGCU